UUACGGCCAUAUAGCGUUGAAACACCGAUUUCCUUACGAUCACCGAAGUUAAACAACGUCGACCCUGGUCAUUACUGAGAUGGGUGACCGCAUAGGAAUGCCAGUUGCUAU